rnacentral:hammerhead_ribozyme from 1 species
AAAAUGAUGAGUCCCAAAUAGGACGAAAUGCGCAUCCUGGAU